rnacentral:tRNA from 1 species
UCCUCCGUAGCUCAGUCGGCAGAGCAGCGUCCUUUUAAGUCGCGGGUCGCAGGUUCGAAACCUGCCGGGGGAA